GCGUAUGUAGUCCAACGGUUAGGAUAAUUUUGCCUUCCAAGCAAUAGACCCGGGUUCGACUCCCGUCAGACAUA
rfam:Brassica rapa chromosome A9, whole genome shotgun sequence.